CCGGCGCACACACGGCACACGCAGACUCACAGAGAGCAGUCCCGUUCCCUUUGCGGCGCCGGCACGCAACAAUCGCGCCGAUUCCGCGAACGCGCGUGAACACCAGUGACAUAUUAGUGAGAUUACAACCGAUCGCAACCAGCAAACACUUUCGCAAUCGCCAUUCUGCACACAAAUCGUCGAAAACAAUUGAUUCAGUAAUUGCAUCGGGGUGGUGUUAGUGCUCCCGGUCGGAUGCAGCGGAAGUAGAGCUUAGAGGUCAUUGAGGUUGCGGUUCAAGCUGGAAUCUAGGCGGAAAACGCUCAGAAAAUAGUCACGACUCGCCGCUGACAACAAAAAAGUUACACUCGCUGCAAGGAUAUAAUACGUGUUGGCGUCGUUGACAAAGUUUAUGAAUCGAUAAUAUUCCCAUUUGCUGUGGAAAGCAGUGCGCUUUGUGUGUCCGCACAGCUUGUCGGAGUGUUUUUUGUGAUUUGAAGUGAAUCAAAGUGUUUUUAAUUCUUACAUCUUCAUUGGUAUGACCGUUCUGGAAGUGUUUUUCGCUGGUGAACAUUCGUGUUGCAACGCGAGCGCCUUCGCAGAGUCGUUGUGAUGAUGGCAUAAUACCCAGCCAAGACGUCAUCCAACAAGAGCUCGUGGCGUCGACAGCCACGAACUGGGGUCGUGGUGACGCCGACCAAUCGCCGCUUCAAUGUGACGGUUGUGCCAAGCGGGCCGGUGCCGGGCGAAGGCGCCGGUGCCGCACCGCCAUCGCCGGCACCGCGUCAUCGCGCCGAGCACUUCGCCACCAUACCCGAAGA